rnacentral:misc_RNA from 1 species
GAUGAAGAACGCAGCGAAAUGCGAUAAGUAAUGUGAAUUGCAGAAUUCAGUGAAUCAUCGAAUCUUUGAACGCACAUUGCGCCCGUCAGUAUUCUGGCGGGCAUGCCUGUUCGAGCGUCAUUACGCCCCUCAAGUCCCCUGUGGACUUGGUGUUGGGGAUCGGCGAGGCUGGUUUUCCAGCACAGCCGUCCCUUAAAUUAAUUGGCGGUCUCGCCGUGGCCCUCCUCUGCGCAGUAGUAAAACACUCGCAACAGGAGCCCGGCGCGGUCCACUGCCGUAAAACCCCCCAACUUUUUAUAGUUGACCUCGAAUCAGGUAGGACUACCCGCUGAACUUAAGCAUAUCAAUAAGCGAGGA